GACGAACGCUGGCGGCGCGCUUAACACAUGCAAGUCGAACGGAAAGGCCUGCUUUCCCUUGUGGAUUGCGGGUACUCGAGUGGCGAACGGGUGAGUAACACGUGAGUGAUCUGCCCCCAACUUGGAUAUAAGCCUGGGAAACUGGGUCUAAUUCCCGAUAGGACUGCAGGGUGGUGCCUGUGGUGGAAAACGAUUUUCUAGUGGUUGGGGAUGAGCUCGCGGCCUAUCAGCUUGUUGGUGGGGUAAUGGCCUACCAAGGCGGCGACGGGUAGCCGGCCUGAGAGGGUGGACGGCCACAUUGGGACUGAGAUACGGCCCAGACUCCUACGGGAGGCAGCAGUGGGGAAUAUUGCACAAUGGGCGGAAGCCUGAUGCAGCGACGCCGCGUGGGGGAUGACGGCCUUCGGGUUGUAAACUCCUUUCGACCGCGAGGAAGCCACCUGGUUGGAAGGGUGGUGACGGUAGUGGUAGAAGAAGCACCGGCUAACUACGUG
rnacentral:rRNA from 1 species